AUUGAACGCUGGCGGCAUGCCUUACACAUGCAAGUCGAACGGUAACAGGUCUUCGGAUGCUGACGAGUGGCGAACGGGUGAGUAAUACAUCGGAACGUGCCUAGUAGUGGGGGAUAACUACUCGAAAGAGUGGCUAAUACCGCAUGAGAUCUACGGAUGAAAGCAGGGGAUCGCAAGACUUUGUGCUACUAGAGCGGCCGAUGGCAGAUUAGGUAGUUGGUGGGAUAAAAGCUUACCAAGCCGACGAUCUGUAGCUGGUCUGAGAGGACGAUCAGCCACACUGGGACUGAGACACGGCCCAGACUCCUACGGGAGGCAGCAGUGGGGAAUUUUGGACAAUGGGCGCAAGCCUGAUCCAGCAAUGCCGCGUGCAGGAAGAAGGCCUUCGGGUUGUAAACUGCUUUUGUACGGAACGAAACGGUCCUGGUUAAUACCCGGGGCUAAUGACGGUACCGUAAGAAUAAGCACCGGCUAACUACGUGCCAGCAGCCGCAGUAACAC
rnacentral:rRNA from 1 species